UACGUAGGGUGUAAGCGUUGUCCGGAAUUAUUGGGCGUAAAGAGCUCGUAGGCGGUCUGUCGCGUCUGCUGUGAAAACUCGGGGCUUAACCCCGGGCCUGCAGUGGGUACGGGCAGACUAGAGUGCGGUAGGGGGAGACUGGAAUUCCUGGUGUAGCGGUGAAAUGCGCAGAUAUCAGGAGGAACACCGGUGGCGAAGGCGGGUCUCUGGGCCGUAACUGACGCUGAGGAGCGAAAGCAUGGGGAGCGAACAGG
rnacentral:rRNA from 1 species